GGGGGGGGGGGGGGGGGGGGGGGGGGGGGGGGGGGGGGGGGGGGGGGGCUGGGGGGGCGGGGGGGUGGGGGGUACUCGGGUGGGGAACGGGGGAGGGGCGCGGGAGUGAUCUGCCCCCAGCUUGGGGAUAAGCCUGGGAAACUGGGUCUAAUUCCCGAUAGGACUGCAGGGUGGUGCCUGUGGUGGAAAACGAUUUUCUAGUGGUUGGGGAUGAGCUCGCGGCCUAUCAGCUUGUUGGUGGGGUAAUGGCCUACCAAGGCGGCGACGGGUAGCCGGCCUGAGAGGGUGGACGGCCACAUUGGGACUGAGAUACGGCCCAGACUCCUACGGGAGGCAGCAGUGGGGAAUAUUGCACAAUGGGCGGAAGCCUGAUGCAGCGACGCCGCGUGGGGGAUGACGGCCUUCGGGUUGUAAACUCCUUUCGACCGCGAGGAAGCCACCUGGUUGGAAGGGUGGUGACGGUAGUGGUAGAAGAAGCACCGGCUAACUACGUG
rnacentral:rRNA from 1 species